rfam:Stegodyphus mimosarum contig53845, whole genome shotgun sequence.
GCCUUCGUGGUGUAGUGGUCAGUACGCUCGACGCGUAACCGAGAGGUCCGUGGUUCGAUUCCCGGCUAAAGGCG